rnacentral:lncRNA from 1 species
AUUGGCCUUAAACUUGUGCUUCUAGAUCUGACUCCUAGCACUUUAUAGUUUUUUAUUCUUUUUCUUUUUUCUUUUCUUAAAAAGAUGAUGACUAUCUGAAGAAGAUCCUCUCACUAAAUUUAUCAUCUUUUUAUGGAGCUAGUGAUUCUUCUCAAAAGUCUGUAGCAACCCCAACAGACCAUAGUAGUUGACUAUAGAUU